AGUGUGGGUUAAUUGCCUAGAAAAGAUUUUUCAUAUGUCUUACUCGCCCGUACCGUAAACCGACACAGGUGGGUGAGUGUAAAUGCACUAAGGCGCGCGAGAGAGACCUCUCUAAGGAACUCGGCACAUUAGCCUCGUAACUUCGGGAAAAGAGGUGCUCACUUCGGUGAGCCACAGUAAAUUGCGUUUAGCGACUGUUUAACAAAAACACAGCACUCUGCUAAGUCGUUAAGACGACGUAUAGGGUGUGACACGUGACCAAUGCGGAAAGAUUAAGGCAUUUUGUUAGCCGCAAGGCGAAGCUCGGUGCCAAAGUCCCCGUGAAUGUCGGCCGUAACUAUAACGGUCCUAAGGUAGCGAAAUUCCUUGUCGGGUAAGUUCCGACCUGCACGAAUCGUGUAACGACUGAACGACUGUCUCGGAGAGGAUCUCGGCGAAACUGUAACUGCGGUGAAGAUGCCGCAUGCCCGCAGUAGGACGGAAAGACCCUAUGCACCUUUACUGUAAGCUGGUAUUGUGUUCUGAUUAAUAAUGCGUAGCGUAGGUGGGAGGCUUUGAAGUGAGUGCUUCGGUGCUCAUGGAGCCGCAAUGUGAAACACCACUCUUUGCUAAUUAGGAUUCUAACCUCGAUUCCUGUCAACCAGGCGAGGGACAGUGCUUGCGGGUCAGUUUGACUGGGGCGGUUUCCUCCCAAAGAGUAACGGAGGAGCGCGAAGCUUGGCUCAGCACGGUUGGCAACCGUGCGUCGAGCGUAUGGGUAUAAGCCAGGUUAACUGUGAGACCUACAAGUCGAGCAGAUGCGAAAGCAGGCCCAAAUGAUCCGAUGGUUUAAUGUGGAAUUGCCAUCGCUCAACGGACAAAAGGUACGCUAGGGAUAACAGGCUGAUCGGUUCCAAGAGUUCACAUCGACGAACCGGUUUGGCACCUUGAUGUCGGCUCAUCGCAUCCUGGGGCUGGAGAAGGUCCCAAGGGUCCGGCUGUUCGCCGGUUAAAGCGGUACGCGAGCUGGGUUCAGAACGUCGUGAGACAGUUCGGUCCUUAUCCACUGUGGGCGCAGGAAUCUUGAGGGGUUCAUUCUCUAGUACGAGAGGACCGAGAAUGACGCACUUCUGGUGUGGCAGUUGUUCCAUCAGGGGCAUCGCUGCGUAGCCAUGUGCGGAAGAGAUAAGCGCUGAAAGCAUCUAAGUGCCAAGCUCAUCCCAAGAUAUGGAUUCCCGGACGCAAGUCCCUAAAGACCCCCGGCAGACUACCGGGUUGAUAGGUCAGGCAUGUAAGCGUCGCGAGAUGUUUAGUGGACUGAUACUAAUUGGUCGUGCGGCUUGAUCGC
rnacentral:rRNA from 1 species